rnacentral:rRNA from 1 species
AUGCGGGUGGGCGCGGAGGGGCUGGCCCAGGGCCCCAAGAUCCGUGGCCUCCUCAUGAUUCACCCAUACUUCCUGGGGAGCAACAAGGUGAACUCCGACGACCUGGACCCGACGGCGCGGGAGAGCCUAGCGAGCGCAUGGCGCAUCAUGUGCCCGACGACCACGGGGGAGGACGACCCGCGAAUCAACCCGUUGGUGGACAGCGCGCCGGGCCUCGAGGCCCUGGCAUCUGGCUGCGUGCUCGUGUGCAUUGCCGAGGGCGACGUGCUCCGCGACCGCGGCCGCGCUUACUGCGACCGGCUCACGGCGAGCGGCUAGAGCGGGCAGGCGGACAUAUGGCAGGCGCCGGGAAAGGGGCACACGUUCCACCUCCUUGAGCCGUGCUGCCAAGAGGCCGUCGCGCAGGACAAGGUCAUCGCCGAGUUCCUCAACCGUUGA